rnacentral:rRNA from 1 species
CAGCCGCCGCGGUAAUACGGAGGGUGCAAGCGUUAAUCGGAAUUACUGGGCGUAAAGCGCACGCAGGCGGUCUGACAAGUCAGAUGUGAAAUCCCCGGGCUUAACCUGGGAACUGCAUUUGAAACUGUCAGGCUGGAGUCUUGUAGAGGGGGGUAGAAUUCCAGGUGUAGCGGUGAAAUGCGUAGAGAUCUGGAGGAAUACCGGUGGCGAAGGCGGCCCCCUGGACAAAGACUGACGCUCAGGUGCGAAAGCGUGGGGAGCAAACAGGAUUAGAUACCCGUGUAGUCCCUGUCUCUUAUAA